rnacentral:lncRNA from 1 species
GGUGGGUUCUAGAACCCAAAGAAGUGCUGACUGAACUAUGAUGGGUAUGAUAAAGGACUAGGUACUCGUAUGAAGGAGGAUUAUACUACACACAGGAAGCAGGAAUUCCCAGUGCUUCAGAGAGAGACCCAAGUUAAAACUUCUCCCAUGGAAUCUGAUCAGGCACAGAGAAGGAUGAAGGAGGGGAUGUCUUUACCUCUAUUUCCAACUGGUCCCCGAUUCCGAGAGAGGACAGUUAUCCUGAAGAUCCUUAUUUGCCUCAUCUAUGGACGGUUCAGACUGGAAGAAGAAUCUGCAUAAUUGUCCCUGCAGUUUCUCUAUCUCUCGGAGGGUUCAAGUGACAGAGGUUGUUAGCCCGAGAAACAGGAUGUUUGCAUUAUUGAUUAGGCUACGCUGUUUUGACUGAAUUAGUGGAGAAUAUCCUCGGCUGCUUAGCAUGUGUCACGUCCGCCUGCUUCUUGUCCAUCAAUUCUGGGGAGAUUCCGUGGCAGCCGCCUGUGUUAGACAUCACGUCUCACCUUGUCCUCUCAGCCUGCCGGUCACCUUACCCGCUGUGCUGAUUAAAAACCUUAUCUC